UUUUACUUCUUUUUUUCUUUUGCUAUUCCCAGCUAUCAUAAUGAAACAGUAAUUACACACCAGUCUAGCAUGCUCAUGAUAAAGGAUCUACCUAUCCACAUAUUGUACUUUGUGUGUUCAACAUAGUCAAAUGUUGUAAGCCAAAUGAGGAGAAACUAAACUUCACAACUCUUCCUAGAAUAUAAGGAACAAUAAAAUUCAGUCAAAGUCUAGACCUGCAGUGUGGCAUCAUUUAUAAUGAGCCUUUUAAGGGACUCAUUUUAUUUGUAUUUUAGAUUUUAAAAAAGACAUUUCAAUAUGAGUAGGGGAGAUAGCUAACAUUUUUUUUUCUUCUUAUCUUAUAAAAUACAGACGUCACUUCAAAAAAUAAGAUGAUUGCGUCCUAUAUGUUUUCC